rnacentral:tRNA from 1 species
GCGGGUGUAGCACAAUGGGAGUGCGCCUGUCUUCCAAGCAGGUUACGCCGGUUCGAUUCCGGUCACCCGCUCCA